UAACUUUGCGCCCGAAAUUAUAUAAGUACAUAAUAAUCAUUUAAAUAAUAUUGGAAUG
rnacentral:ncRNA from 1 species